rnacentral:rRNA from 1 species
GAUGAACGCUAGCGGCAGGCCUAACACAUGCAAGUCGAGGGAGAGGUUACCUUCGGGUAACCAAAACCGGCGCACAGGUGCGUAACGCGUAUACAAUCUGCCUUUCACAUAGGGAUAGCCCGAAGAAAUUUGGAUUAAUACCUAAUGGUAUAUAAGAGCGGCAUCGUUUUUAUAUUAAAGCUACGGUGGUGAAAGAUGAGUAUGCGUUCUAUUAGCUAGUUGGAGAGGUAACGGCUCCCCAAGGCGACGAUAGAUAGGGGUUCUGAGAGGGAUGUCCCCCACACUGGUACUGAGAUACGGACCAGACUCCUACGGGAGGCAGCAGUGAGGAAUAUUGGACAAUGGUCGGAAGACUGAUCCAGCCAUGCCGCGUGCAGGAUGAAGGUCCUAUGGAUUGUAAACUGCUUUUGUAAGGGAAGAAUAAGGAGUACGUGUACUUUGAUGACGGUACCUUACGAAUAAGCAUCGGCUAACUCCGUG